CCCGGUUGAUUCCCACCCACCCUUAUCGCAUGCAUAUCAUAUCGUCGUCAUGCCGCGCGAGCACCCCUCCGCUAUUUAAGCUCGGCCUCGCGCACCGGCAAAGCGCACUUUCGUUUCCGUCUCCGACCGGAGCGGGCGAAGCGCUGAAUCAUGGUGCUUCCAGCAGUUUUCGACCUCCACCCUGGCGAGUCCAACUGACCCCAGGGUGGCACAAUCAGGAAUGACCUCUUCUCAACGAAAGCAUGGUUCCAUCUGCGACGAAAUUGACGCAACCUAUGCUGGCGCCGAGAAGAUGACAGUCCUGCCUCCAAAGGACAUCAAGAGAGGAUGUCGAUAUAACAACGUUGAUUUUUGUGAUUUUUAUUUUGUUACUUUAUUAUAAUUUUAUUGUUUUUUUUUUUUACUUUAAUUUCUUAUGAUUUAUUUUAUUUUUCGUUUCUUUUUGAUUUUGUAGAGUUUUGUUAGUUUGAAACCAUAACAAUGUGUGCCCAAAAAUCCAAAUAAAAAAAGAGUGUAGAAUGUAA